GAAACUCAAGGUGACUCGCUUGUGGUCGGCCUGCCGAUUGGCUAAACCACGGGUUAAACCCAAAUAGGUCGGCUAAGUAUGUAGAACUGACUGUAGAGGACUUGCGGACGGGGGUUCGAUUCCCCCCGGCUCCACCA
rnacentral:tmRNA from 1 species